UCAGAGGUCCUUUUACUCAACAUCCA
rnacentral:piRNA from 1 species